GUACCCCAAACCGACACAGGUGGUCGGGUAGAGAAUACCAAGGCGCUUGAGAGAACUCGGGUGAAGGAACUAGGCAAAAUGGUACCGUAACUUCGGGAGAAGGUACGCUCUUGAUGGUGAAGUCCCUUGCGGAUGGAGCUGACGAGAGUCGCAGAUACCAGGUGGCUGCAACUGUUUAUUAAAAACACAGCACUGUGCAAAAUCGCAAGAUGACGUAUACGGUGUGACGCCUGCCCGGUGCCGGAAGGUUAAUUG
rnacentral:rRNA from 1 species